rnacentral:rRNA from 1 species
GACAGCGGUGAAAGCAUGCUGAUUGCUCCAGUUUCCAAUGGAUCACUGAAGUUAAACAACGCUGAGCGUGGUUGGUAUUCCGAUGAGUGACCCAUCUGGGCAAUAGCUUUCUGCCGACU